CUGAGCCCCCGCAGCGCUCCCGCCGCAGCCUCGCCGCUGCUUCUUUCCUCCCCCUCGGGGGGCGAAGGGAACACCGACAUUGGGUUUUUUUUUUCCUUUUUUUUUUUUUCUUUUUUUUUUUUUUUUUGCUUUUUUCCCCCCCUCUCCGUGAUCUGGAUAUUCUGCGCGACCGCAAAGAAGAACUUUUUGUUUGUUUUUUUUUUCCUUUUGUUUGUUUGUUUGGGUUUUUUUGUUUUAUUUUGGGUUUUUCUGUUUCGUUUCGUUUUUCCUCCCCUCCUGCCCUCGCCCCGGCUCUGUCCCUCCCGUGUCACUCUCUCCCGGAGCCGGGGCUGGAGCCCGGAACCUCAGCGAGGGGCGAAGCCUCCUUCCUGCUCCCGCCGCGAAUAAGUAAAAUGUAAAUUGGAUAAUAACGACCUCUUGCCAAAGGCUCCAAUGAGUGGCACACAGUCCACAAUCACGGACAGGUUUCCUCUCAAAAAACCUACGAGACAUGGCAGCAUUUUGAGCAGAGAGUCUCCAGCUGACAAGAAGCAGAAGGUCGAGCGCUGCAGCAGCACCCACGACUUCGAUCCCACAGGUACGGUCCUAAAAAAAAACAACUCCAGGUGAAAACCAGCAUUUCCAUCUGA